UCUAUCAUUAAAGUUGCAUUCUGUUUUAGUUUAGUUCUUGCCUUACAGGCAGUCAAUUGUCAAAUGGGAUGCAAUUGUGGGCCAUAUCCCAUAAUAUACCGUGAGAAAAGCAAUGAUUUAGACGUCAUACUGCCAAUACUAAUGCUGGCUAUGAUGGACGACGGUCCCUUUGGGGCCAUGCCCCCAAUGCCUCUUCCAUAUGCUGGUAUGAAAAAUAAUGGUGGAUGUGGGUGUGGUGGUUAUCGGCGCUAAAUAUACAAUAUUUAAUGUAAA